rnacentral:tRNA from 1 species
UCUGUGGCUCAGUUGGUAGAGCGUCGCAUUCGUAAUGCGUAGGCCGUGGGUUCGAGUCCCAUCAG